AUAGCAUUUUUGACGGAAAUUUACUUUUCUUUUAAGCUUACAGAGCCAAAAUAAUACUUAAAUAAUGCUGUUUAUUUCAGCGACGUCAGAGGACGUCAUUUACACCAUGCCAGCUUUCAGCACUAGAAGAAUUGUUUGCACGAACACAUUAUCCUGACAUAUUUGUGAGGGAGGAGUUAGCAGCAAAAAUUAACCUUUGUGAGGCCAGGGUACAGGUGUGGUUCCAAAACAGAAGAGCAAAAUGGCGGAAGGAAUUACGUAAGACCGGAAGCAAUGCUGCUUUACGUUACUACAAUCACAUGCCGAUAAAUGACAGUGUCGCGGCAGAUUUGAACAGACGAUUACGUCAGAAUGCCACGUGCGCGCCGCCGGUAAUGCCGCCAUUUCUUGGUGGAAUGGCGCUGCACGAGAAUUCCAUGCAAGAUUUUUGGUAUUCUCACGCUCUUAGAUACUCUGGACUUUUCGACAGAGUGCCACCUGGCGGCGAUCUUCGGAAUCAGCAUCAUCAUAAUUUGCACACGCCACCAAAGUGAAACCCCAUAUUGUGAUACGUCACCAAAAUGAAACUCGAUCUUGCCUGUUAAUUGUCACUUGCCGGUGUCUUGUUGAAAAAAUAACAAAAAACAUUUGACUAUUGGGUGUUGGGGAUUUGCCAAUCUGAAUAAAAUACAUCUGUAACUAAUUUUAUAUUACAGGGUGACGCAGCGAAAUGUUUCAAUUUUAUUUUGGAAAAUAUUUUUAUAAUAUGCAUUUAUAAAAAAGGUCAAAUUUUAUAUAUCUGUAGUGGUUGGAAUUACAAUUUUGUAUAUUUUGUCGAAUGAAAUCGUCCUAUUUUU